AGCUUUCAUUUGAGCCUUGUCCCGUUGACCAACUCGGAUGUACUGGUCUGUUGAACCAUGAUGAUCAAUAAUGUCUCGAUUAUAGCACAUGAAAAUGGAAAAUUGGCAACGCUGUACUGCCUAAACGAGGGGUCACUUCAAGCUGAAACUUUUCAUGGAAGUUUGGCUUACCGUAAGCUUUCAUUUAAGCCUUGUCUCGUUGACCAACUCGGGUGUUCUAGUCUGAUGAACCAUGAUGAUGCAGAAUUCCUCGAUAUUAGGACAUGAAAAUGGAAAAUUGGCAACGCUGUACAGCCUGUACGAGGGGUCACUUCACGUUGAAACUUUGCAUGGAAGUUUGCCUUACUGGAAGCUUCUAUUUGAGCCUUGUCCGGUUGAUCAACUCGGGUAUCCAAAAAGGGGCUAAAAAACACCCCUUUUUGGCGAGACUCUUUACGUUUUAAAAUAAUUCUUCUACCUGACUGAGUUAACUGUCGAAUUUGUCUCCUCCCAAAUACUGUCCUUCAGAGUCUACGGAGUGAUCCCAACGUUUUCUCCACUUGUGAAACGCCUCUUGAAAGUCGGUUUCGGUCAACAAAUUAAACAACUUCUGCAAUUCGCGUUGGAUCCCUUUGUGUUCAAACGCCGGCCUUUCAUGCUGCGUUUGAUUUUUGGAAACAAGAAGAAAUCACACGGAGCCGGAUUCGGUGAAUAAGGAGGAUGUGGAAGUACUUUUCAAAAGCAUUUUUGCCAAAACUAUAAUUGAGACAUGAACAGAAACACCAAAUUGAGUCACUGGAAGAUGCAAACUGACAGGGUCUCCAAAAAUGCAUUAUACUUGGUCAAAACACAGCAUUAUCAGUUGAAUGUCAAAUGAGACACAUUGUCAAGAUACCUGCUCCAUAUCUUACCAGCAUUGCCAUUGAACUCGUCCUUUUUUCCUGCCGAAAAUCAAGCUAUGAAGUUGAGUUACACUUCCAUAUUUCAUCGCAGAUCUAUACAAACAUGUACCCCUUUCAACGAAAGCUGUAAAAAAAACGGAUAAAGCUAGCUCAAAAAUCAAAACACCGUCGUAUUUGUGACGUCUUUAGCUUUCCGAAACGACUAAGAUCAACUUGAUACAAUCAUUUUUUAAGAAAUAGCGGGAAUAUUACGGGAACUUUAUGACCACACCUUGUAGAACAUGUCAGUGAUAUUUUUCUUGAUGACAUUAUCGGUAAAGACAAUACCAAGUCCAUGUGGGAAGCGCUCUAAGAGAGAUUGCGCUGCCUAUGAUAUCUAUCUGAGAACACCGUUCUUGAAAGAUAUGGUUAAAACUGAAAAGAAAUACGUGAAUCAAUUAUGACGUACAUGAGUACUAUUCAGAACUACUAGAGGAUAAAGAAGAAGGAUGGCCUCGAAUUUACUGACCGAGCGGUCGUUGCUUUUUACCUCAUAAGCCUCCCGCGAAGCAAGCACCCCGAGUUUGUUAGGAGUGUCUAUAGCUCUGAUGAGGAAAGUCUAUCGAUAAAAUUUGCCCACUCGAUUACUUUUAGAAGAGAAGUGGAUGAAAAGUGAAGAGACUGAUACACCAACCGGGCUAAAGGCAUUAAACGUUAGACGCAACCACCCAUUUAAGAAGUCCAGAGCCAAAAAUUCCAAAGAAGAGGAAUCCCAUUCAAAGAAGUACGUCUGUUUUCCGUGUGCCAAACCUGGUCACAUAUUCCUAAACUGUCCACAAAAUGAGAAAAAAAAAGAGAAAAAAAAAGAGAAAAAAAAAAAAAAGUCAAUCAAAGUCAAAAGUCAAAAGUCAAAGUCAUCUCAAGAAAAAAAAAGUUCAGCGUCUAUUGUGCCGCAAGGGUAUAAGGCUCUUUGUACCCUGAGAACUCAACAAUCUGGUGAUGGUGGUGUCUGGCUACUGGAUUCUGCUGCAUCCGAUCACAUGACCCUUCGAAGGGACCUGUUCACCUCCUACGAGCCAUUCCAGAGCAAGAUAACCGUGGGCAAUGGAAUCCCGUUAGCUUUCCAAGGAAGGGAACUGUACUUCUACACUUGUUCAGUGAGAGUGGCGGCUAUGAUAUAAGCUUUAGCGACGUUUUAUACAAUCCAGAACUCCAAGACGACUUGAUUUCAGAAGGAAAAUUAGACGAAAAAUAGAUGUCUAUUUUUAAAAAGCAAGGCAUUAGCAAGGUUCUUGAUGGAGAGGCAGUAUUUUUUACAACUCGCCGCACUGACGCGCUUCACUAAGUAACCACCAGGCAUGGCCACUCGUUUGUGGACAUCGAGACAGAAUGUGAGAGUUUCACAGGAAACCAAGCUUACCGCGUCACUUCGAACAGGUGGCAUAACUGUUUAGGGCACCUCUACAAAGAAGCCAUCUCAAAGAUUCAGCCCUUGAAACCCUCAUCCAAGGCAGAAGUAGCGAUAUCUCUACUCAACAUACAUCCAAGGAAAGUUUCACCGCAACCCUUUUCCCAAGAAUGAAGAUAACAAGGUCGACAGUGUUCUCCAGAGGGUCUAUUCUGAGGUUGUUGGGCCAAUGGCUUGUCAAUCAAUGAGUGGAUCUAAGUAUUUUGUAACGUUCACUGACAAUUUCUCUGACUAUGUCACUGAUGUCUCAAUAAAGAAGAAGAGCAACAUGUUUGUUGAAUGUCUUAAGUACCAGCAGAAGGUCGAUGCUAUGCAAGGUGUGAAAAUCAAGGAGUUCCAGUCAGACCAAGAAGGUGUGUAUGAGAGUGCUCAGUUCAAGCUUCAUUUUGAGAGGAACGGUAUUCUCUCAAAAAAUUGUGUUGCUUGCACCCCCCAACAGAAUGAUAGUUGAGGUGAUACUUUUUGAGGUGACAAACAGAAUUUCAGCACCCGGGAAGCAGUCAUGUUGGGUUAUCUGGAAGAAAUGAAAGCCUACCGCAUUUUGGAUUUGACGCAGAAGAAGUUUGUUGUCAGCCGUGAUGUCAACUUUGAAGAAGGAGUCUUCCUGUAUAAACGAGCGCCAAGGGAUUCCACCGAAAAAGCCAACCUUCUAGUAGAGAGGAGAAAGAGAACGAUAUAGAGACUGCAAACGGCGAAUCCGCACUUUACACUCCCCCACCACCACCACCACCAAUGGGUGAAAACCAAGAAGUAGCCAUCCCUCCAGAGCCUCCAGUGAUAGAAGCACCUGUCGCCAUAGGAGAGCACGUUGCAGAAGAUCACGACGAUCUGAUCGUAUACGCGUUGCCAAGCAGCCAUGUUCCUGUUCUUCCAGCGCCCUAGAGGAACGAUCAAGCCCCUCAAUCACUCCGAAGUUCUCGGUGGCCCUGACUCAAAGUACUGGCGAGAGGCAAUCGAGGAGGAGCUACAGAACAUCGAGGAACAGAGUGUUUGGACUGUUGUCAAGGACCUCCGCAACUCAAAUUUGAUCUGAAAUGCUGAAUUUGUCAUUACCGUAGCCUGUUACCUGUCGAAAGUCUCAACUUUAUCGCUGAAUUCAAGCAAAUAUAUACAAAGUCACGGGCUUCUGAAAUCAAAUAUGGCUUCAGCAUACUUUGAAUUGAUAAUUCUUUCUUUUUAGAGCUACAUUUUCCUCUAAGUUUUCGAAAAAAUUGGCAUCUUGUGCUUGUUACUGGAUUUGGUGUCAUUACCGUAACCCCUUGUUCUGGAGCAAACUUCGGCUGCUAGGCGACAGCACCAGCUCGAACUUACAUUCGUUGAUGUUUGUGUUGGAAGUAGGACCCAUGACGUUUUAAUUGAAGAAAAAUGUCAACCCCAUACGAGAAAUGGUUUCAGAACUUACAAAAAAAACUGAAAGUCAGUCAGUUUAAAUCAGUACAAGAAAAUGGCCCAUCAGAUACCACCAGCAAUACCGUCGCGUCCUGCCCAGAAAGUACAUCAAUACGAUCCGAGAUAGUCUUAUACUAUUUAUUGCUAGUUUUGCAAGUUAAAAGUUCUAUUUUCUCUUGACUAAUAAUUAUGAUUAUUUUGUUUGAAGAUCUCACUAGAGAUAUUUUUGUUCACGUUACCUACAUUUCUUCUCAAAGAAAUUUUCUCUUUUGCAUAUAGGUGGUUAAAUAAAGUCCUAUUUUUCCUCUAUUAUAAUUAUUUUGUUUAGUGAUCUCAUUAGAGAUACACAUUUAAUGUGAAAUUGGUUGAUGUCUACCAUUUCUUUGACGAUUUAUUUACUUCAAAUGAUUUGGUUUGGUCAUUUUUUCGAAUUUUUGUACUGCUUUAAUACAAUGUUUCUUUAGAAA